AAUAGAUACCCGGUAGUCACGCCGUAAACGUUGGGCGCUAGAUGUGGGACCAUUCCACGGUUUCCGCGUCGUAGCUAACGCAUUAAGCGCCCCGCCUGGGGAGUACGGCCGCAAGGCUAAAACUCAAAGGAAUUGACGGGGGGCCCGCACAAGCGGCGGAGCAUGCGGAUUAAUUCGAUGCAACGCGAAGAACCUUACCAAGGCUUGACAUAUGCGAGAACGCUCUAGAAAUAGAGAACUCUUUGGACACUCGUAUACAGGUGGUGCAUGGUUGUCGUCAGCUCGUGUCGUGAGAUGUUGGGUUAAGUCCCGCAACGAGCGCAACCCUCGUCGCAUGUUGCCAGCACGUAAUGGUGGGAACUCAUGUGAGACUGCCGGGGUCAACUCGGAGGAAGGUGGGGAUGACGUCAAAUCAUCAUGCCCCUUAUGUCUUGGGCUUCACGCAUGCUACAAUGGCUGGUACAGAGAGUGGCGAGCCUGUGAGGGUGAGCGAAUCUCGGAAAGCCGGUCUCAGUUCGGU
rnacentral:rRNA from 1 species